rnacentral:misc_RNA from 1 species
UCCGGUUUGUCACCGGCAGUCCCAUUAGAGUGCCCAACUGAAUGUGGCAACUAAUGGCAAGGGUUGCGCUCGUUGCGGGACUUAACCCAACAUCUCACGACACGAGCUGACGACAACCAUGCACCACCUGUGCACGGCCCUUACGGACCCCGCAUCUCUGCGAGAUUUCCGUGCAUGUCAAGCCUAGGUAAGGUUCUUCGCGUUGCAUCGAAUUAAGCAACAUGCUCCGCCGCUUGUGCGGGCCCCCGUCAAUUCCUUUGAGUUUUAGCCUUGCGGCCGUACUCCCCAGGCGGGACACUUAGAGCGUUAGCUUCGCCACAGAAGGGGUCGAUUCCUCCUACAGCAAAUGCGCACCGUUUAGGGCCGGGACUAC